CCAGCGACGCCGCGUGUGUGAAGAAGGCCUGCGGGUUGUAAAGCACUUUUAGUGGGGAUGAAAAGCCUGACGCUAACACCGUCGGGUCUUGACCUAACCCACAGAAAAAGCACCGGCUAACUCUGUGCCAGCAGCCGCGGUAAUACAGAGGGUGCGAGCGUUAAUCGGAAUUACUGGGCGUAAAGCGUGCGUAGACGGUCAUACAAGUCGGGUGUGAAAGCCCCGGGCUCAACCUGGGAAUUGCAUUCGAGACUGUAUGGCUAGGGUGCGGAAGAGGGAAGCGGAAUUUCCGGUGUAGCGGUGAAAUGCGUAGAUAUCGGAAGGAACACCAGUGGCGAAAGCGGCUUCCUGGUCCGACACCGACGUUCAGGCACGAAAGCGUGGGGAGCAAACAGGAUUAGAUACCCUGGUAGUCCACGCCAUAAACGAUGAGAACUAGACGUUGGAA
rnacentral:rRNA from 1 species